rnacentral:rRNA from 1 species
UUAAGCGACUAAGCGUACACGGUGGAUGCCCUGGCAGUCAGAGGCGAUGAAGGACGUGCUAAUCUGCGAUAAGCGUCGGUAAGGUGAUAUGAACCGUUAUAACCGGCGAUUUCCGAAUGGGGAAACCCAGUGUGAUUCGUCACACUAUCAUUAACUGAAUCCAUAGGUUAAUGAGGCGAACCGGGGGAACUGAAACAUCUAAGUACCCCGAGGAAAAGAAAUCAACCGAGAUUCCCCCAGUAGCGGCGAGCGAACGGGGAGCAGCCCAGAGCCUGAAUCAGUGUGUGUGUUAGUGGAAGCGUCUGGAAAGGCGCGCGAUACAGGGUGACAGCCCCGUACACAAAAAUGCACAUGCUGUGAGCUCGAUGAGUAGGGCGGGACACGUGGUAUCCUGUCUGAAUAUGGGGGGACCAUCCUCCAAGGCUAAAUACUCCUGACUGACCGAUAGUGAACCAGUACCGUGAGGGAAAGGCGAAAAGAACCCCGGCGAGGGGAGUGAAAAAGAACCUGAAACCGUGUACGUACAAGCAGUGGGAGCACAGAGCAAUCUGUGUGACUGCGUACCUUUUGUAUAAUGGGUCAGCGACUUAUAUUCUGUAGCAAGGUUAACCGAAUAGGGGAGCCGAAGGGAAACCGAGUCUUAACUGGGCGUUAAGUUGCAGGGUAUAGACCCGAAACCCGGUGAUCUAGCCAUGGGCAGGUUGAAGGUUGGGUAACACUAACUGGAGGACCGAACCGACUAAUGUUGAAAAAUUAGCGGAUGACUUGUGGCUGGGGGUGAAAGGCCAAUCAAACCGGGAGAUAGCUGGUUCUCCCCGAAAGCUAUUUAGGUAGCGCCUCGUGAAUUCAUCUCCGGGGGUAGAGCACUGUUUCGGCAAGGGGGUCAUCCCGACUUACCAACCCGAUGCAAACUGCGAAUACCGGAGAAUGUUAUCACGGGAGACACACGGCGGGUGCUAACGUCCGUCGUGAAGAGGGAAACAACCCAGACCGCCAGCUAAGGUCCCAAAGUCAUGGUUAAGUGGGAAACGAUGUGGGAAGGCCCAGACAGCCAGGAUGUUGGCUUAGAAGCAGCCAUCAUUUAAAGAAAGCGUAAUAGCUCACUGGUCGAGUCGGCCUGCGCGGAAGAUGUAACGGGGCUAAACCAUGCACCGAAGCUGCGGCAGCGACGCUGAUGCGUUGUUGGGUAGGGGAGCGUUCUGUAAGCCUGUGAAGGUGUGCUGUGAGGCAUGCUGGAGGUAUCAGAAGUGCGAAUGCUGACAUAAGUAACGAUAAAGCGGGUGAAAAGCCCGCUCGCCGGAAGACCAAGGGUUCCUGUCCAACGUUAAUCGGGGCAGGGUGAGUCGACCCCUAAGGCGAGGCCGAAAGGCGUAGUCGAUGGGAAACAGGUUAAUAUUCCUGUACUUGGUGUUACUGCGAAGGGGGGACGGAGAAGGCUAUGUUGGCCGGGCGACGGUUGUCCCGGUUUAAGCGUGUAGGCUGGUUUUCCAGGCAAAUCCGGAAAAUCAAGGCUGAGGCGUGAUGACGAGGCACUACGGUGCUGAAGCAACAAAUGCCCUGCUUCCAGGAAAAGCCUCUAAGCAUCAGGUAACAUCAAAUCGUACCCCAAACCGACACAGGUGGUCAGGUAGAGAAUACCAAGGCGCUUGAGAGAACUCGGGUGAAGGAACUAGGCAAAAUGGUGCCGUAACUUCGGGAGAAGGCACGCUGAUAUGUAGGUGAAGCGACUUGCUCGUGGAGCUGAAAUCAGUCGAAGAUACCAGCUGGCUGCAACUGUUUAUUAAAAACACAGCACUGUGCAAACACGAAAGUGGACGUAUACGGUGUGACGCCUGCCCGGUGCCGGAAGGUUAAUUGAUGGGGUCAGCGCAAGCGAAGCUCUUGAUCGAAGCCCCGGUAAACGGCGGCCGUAACUAUAACGGUCCUAAGGUAGCGAAAUUCCUUGUCGGGUAAGUUCCGACCUGCACGAAUGGCGUAAUGAUGGCCAGGCUGUCUCCACCCGAGACUCAGUGAAAUUGAACUCGCUGUGAAGAUGCAGUGUACCCGCGGCAAGACGGAAAGACCCCGUGAACCUUUACUAUAGCUUGACACUGAACAUUGAGCCUUGAUGUGUAG